rnacentral:rRNA from 1 species
ACGAACGCUGGCGGCGUGCUUAACACAUGCAAGUCGCACGAAGCUUGCUUACGGAUUCUUCGGAUGAAGUAUGAUAUGACUGAGUGGCGGACGGGUGAGUAACGCGUGAGUAACCUGCCCUUCAGAGGGGGAUAGCGUUUGGAAACGAACGGUAAUACCGCAUAAUGUAUUUUGACCGCAUGAUCGAAAUACCAAAGAUUUAUCGCUGAAGGAUGGACUCGCGUCUGAUUAGGUAGUUGGUGGGGUAACGGCCUACCAAGCCGACGAUCAGUAGCCGGACUGAGAGGUUGAUCGGCCACAUUGGGACUGAGACACGGCCCAGACUCCUACGGGAGGCAGCAGUGGGGAAUAUUGCACAAUGGGCGCAAGCCUGAUGCAGCAACGCCGCGUGAAGGAAGACGGUUUUCGGAUUGUAAACUUCUGUUCUUAGUGAAGAAUAAUGACGGUAGCUAAGGAGCAAGCCACGGCUAACUACGUG